GGCGAACGGGUGAGUAACACGUGAGUAACCUGCCCUUGACUCUGGGAUAAGCCUGGGAAACUGGGUCUAAUACCGGAUACGACCAUCUGACGCAUGUCAUGGUGGUGGAAAGCUUUUGUGGUUUUGGAUGGACUCGCGGCCUAUCAGCUUGUUGGUGGGGUAAUGGCCUACCAAGGCGACGACGGGUAGCCGGCCUGAGAGGGUGACCGGCCACACUGGGACUGAGACACGGCCCAGACUCCUACGGGAGGCAGCAGUGGGGAAUAUUGCACAAUGGGCGAAAGCCUGAUGCAGCGACGCCGCGUGAGGGAUGACGGCCUUCGGGUUGUAAACCUCUUUCAGUAGGGAAGAAGCGAAAGUGACGGUACCUGCAGAAGAAGCGCCGGCUAACUACGUGCCAGCAGCCGCGGUAAUACGUAGGGCGCAAGCGUUAUCCGGAAUUAUUGGGCGUAAAGAGCUCGUAGGCGGUUUGUCGCGUCUGCUGUGAAAGACCGGGGCUCAACUCCGGUUCUGCAGUGGGUACGGGCAGACUAGAGUGCAGUAGGGGAGACUGGAAUUCCUGGUGUAGCGGUGAAAUGCGCAGAUAUCAGGAGGAACACCGAUGGCGAAGGCAGGUCUCUGGGCUGUAACUGACGCUGAGGAGCGAAAGCAUGGGGAGCGAACAGGAUUAGAUACCCUGGUAGUCCAUGCCGUAAACGUUGGGCACUAGGUGUGGGGGACAUUCCACGUUUUCCGCGCCGUAGCUAACGCAUUAAGUGCCCCGCCUGGGGAGUACGGCCGCAAGGCUAAAACUCAAAGGAAUUGACGGGGGCCCGCACAAGCGGCGGAGCAUGCGGAUUAAUUCGAUGCAACGCGAAGAACCUUACCAAGGCUUGACAUGAACCGGAAAGACCUGGAAACAGGUGCCCCGCUUGCGGUCGGUUUACAGGUGGUGCAUGGUUGUCGUCAGCUCGUGUCGUGAGAUGUUGGGUUAAGUCCCGCAACGAGCGCAACCCUCGUUCUAUGUUGCCAGCGCGUUAUGGCGGGGACUCAUAGGAGACUGCCGGGGUCAACUCGGAGGAAGGUGGGGACGACGUCAAAUCAUCAUGCCCCUUAUGUCUUGGGCUUCACGCAUGCUACAAUGGCCGGUACAAAGGGUUGCGAUACUGUGAGGUGGAGCUAAUCCCAAAAAGCCGGUCUCAGUUCGGAUUGGGGUCUGCAACUCGACCCCAUGAAGUCGGAGUCGCUAGUAAUCGCAGAUCAGCAACGCUG
rnacentral:rRNA from 1 species